GAAGAAGAAAAGCGCGACGCUCCGCUCCCCAAUCUCGUCAUUUCCGGGGGAAGAUGUCAAAGAUGUGAUGGAGGAAAACACCUUAGGAAUCGACUCGACUAUGAUCGGCGGCGCCUUCCCGUUGGAGCUUACGGAUUUCGCCUGGGAUUCACUCCUUUGCUGGGAAGCCUGGACAGGUGAUGCUUUAAUCUGCUGAUUCCGCCAUUGAGGAUUCUGUCACAAAAUUUGCAUCUCACUUUGUUGCCUUCUAAUCUCUCUGCAUAUUCCCAGCAAACGUCUUUCUCUCUAACCAUGAGAAGGAAGAAUAAACUUCCAGAUCGAAUGACAAUUCUACAAACCGGAUCUCCCAAGAACGUGAGAUGCAAUAACAGGAAUUACAUAAUCGUAUCGGAGAAGGAAAUUUCGCCAAAUAAAUCAGUUCCAGAUCGAGUGAGAAUUCUACCAACACAUACAUUGGUGGAAACACAAACCGGAUUUACGAAGAGGCAGUAACAGCUCUACAUUGCCAGAACAACACACCGAUCGGAAUUCCAAUGAACAGGAGGAGAUUCAGUAAAAGGCAACUGUUUUUUCAUUUUCUCUGGAAAAAUCAAUAAGAAAGGGAUACGAGAAGCAGCGAGAUUGACGAAAUACAGAUACGACGAAGACGAAGAAGAAAUCCUUACUCAGCUGAGAAGCUCCAAGGCUCUUCGGAUCUG